GAGAACAGCUAGUGACUUGGGAGCUAGAGGAGUCACCCAGUGAGAACAGCUAUGACUUGGGAGCUAGAGGAGUCACCCAGUGAGAACAGCAGUGACUUGGGAGCUAGAGGAGUCACCCAGUGAGAA